UUCAGCAAUUGUGAAAAAAAUCAGACAAGCGAUUGACAACCAAACUGAAGUUACUGUACAACUCAUUAAUUAUACAAAGACCGGAGGAGGAGCUAUUUCAGUAGCUCUUGUCUUGAAUCAAAAUGCUGCCAAGGUAGCUGCGGCUUCGGAAACUGCUGCAUUCUCCCAAAAUCCUGCACUUGUUCUUGCUCCAGUUAUCCCAAG